rnacentral:rRNA from 1 species
GCAUAUCAAUAAGCGGAGGAAAAAGAAACCAACAGGGAUUGCCCUAGUAACGGCGAGUGAAGCGGCAACAGCUCAAAUUUGAAAUCUGGCUCUUUUAGGGUCCGAGUUGUAAUUUGCAGAGGGCGCUUUGGCGUUGGCAGCGGUCCAAGUUCUUUGGAACAGGACGUCACAGAGGGUGAGAAUCCCGUACGUGGUCGCUAUCCUUCGCCGUGUAAAGCCCCUUCGACGAGUCGAGUUGUUUGGGAAUGCAGCUCUAAAUGGGAGGUAAAUUUCUUCUAAAGCUAAAUACUGGCCAGAGACCGAUAGCGCACAAGUAGAGUGAUCGAAAGAUGAAAAGCACUUUGGAAAGAGAGUCAAAUAGCACGUGAAAUUGUUGAAAGGGAAGCGCUUGCAGCCAGACUUGCCUGUAGUUGCUUAUCCGGACUUUUGUCCGGUGCACUCUUCUGCGGGCAGGCCAGCAUCAGUUUGGGCAGUUGGAUAAAGGUCUCUGUCAUGUACCUCUCUUCGGGGAGGCCUUAUAGGGGAGACGACAUGCAACUAGCCUGGACUGAGGUCCGCGCAUCUGCUAGGAUGCUGGCGUAAUGGCUGUAAGCGGCCCGUCUUGAAACACGGACCAAGGAGUCUAACAUCUAUGCGAGUGUUUGGGUGUCAAGCCCAGACGCGUAAUGAAAGUGAACGGAGGUGGGAACCCUUUGGGUGCACCAUCGACCGAUCCUGAUGUUUUCGGAAGGAUUUGAGUAAGAGCAUGGCUGUUGGGACCCGAAAGAUGGUGAACUAUGCUUGAAUAGGGUGAAGCCAGAGGAAAACUCUGGUGGAGGCUCGCAGCGGUUCUGACGUGCAAAUCGAUCGUCAAAUUUGGGCAUAGGGGCGAAAGACUAAUCGAACUAUCUAGUAGCUGGUUCUGCG